rnacentral:rRNA from 1 species
UGAUACGCCAACACUUGGAACUGAGACACCGCCCAGAUCCUACGGAAGCAGCAGUGGGAAUUGAACAAUGGGCGAAGCUGAUCCAGCCAUGCGCUGGCGGGAAGAACGCUUCCGGUUUUAACCGCUUUAGUCCGGGAAAAAGGGGUGCGAGGAUAUACCCUCGUGCUUUGAUGGUACUGGAAGAAUAAGCACCGGCUAACUACGUGCCAGCAGCCGCGGUAAUACGUAGGGUGCGAGCGUUAAUCGGAAUUACUGGGCGUAAAGCGUGCGCAGGCGGUCUUGUAAGACAGUCGUGAAAGCCCCGGGCUUAACCUGGGAACUGCGAUUGUGACUGCAAGGCUAGAGUGUGCCAGAGGGGGGUGGAAUUCCACGUGUAGCAGUGAAAUGCGUAGAGAUGUGGAGGAACACCGAUGGCGAAGGCAGCCCCCUGGGAUAACACUGACGCUCAUGCACGAAAGCGUGGGGAGCAAACAGGAUUAGAUACCCUGGUAGUCCACGCCCUAAACGAUGUCAACUGGUUGUUGGAAGGGUAACCCUUUAGUAACGAAGCUAACGCGUGAAGUUGACCGCCUGGGGAGUACGGUCGCAAGAUUAAAACUCAAAGGAAUUGACGGGGACCCGCACAAGCGGUGGAUGAUGUGGUUUAAUUCGAUGCAACGCGAAAAACCUUACCUACAC